UCCUACGGAGGCAGCAGUAAGGAAUAUUGGUCAAUGGACGCAAGUCUGAACCAGCCAUGCCGCGUGGAGGAUGAAGGUCCUCUGGAUUGUAAACUUCUUUUAUCUGGGACGAAACACUCCUAUUCUUGGGGGCCUGACGGUACCAGAUGAAUAAGCACCGGCUAACUCCGUGCCAGCAGCCGCGG
rnacentral:rRNA from 1 species